rnacentral:rRNA from 1 species
UACGUAGGGGGCUAGCGUUGUCCGGAAUCAUUGGGCGUAAAGCGCGCGUAGGCGGCCCGAUAAGUCUGCUGUGAAAGUCCAGGGCUCAACCCUGGAAUGCCGGUGGAUACUGUCGGGCUAGAGUUCGGAAGAGGCAAGUGGAAUUCCUGGUGUAGCGGUGAAAUGCGCAGAUAUCAGGAGGAACACCGGUGGCGAAGGCGGGUCUCUGGGCCGAUACUGACGCUGAGGAGCGAAAGCGUGGGGAGCGAACAGG